rnacentral:rRNA from 1 species
CCUACGGGGGGCAGCAGUGGGGAAUAUUGCACAAUGGGCUCAAGCCUGAUGCAGCCAUGCCGCGUGUGUGAAGAAGGCCUUCGGGUUGUAAAGCACUUUCAGCGGGGAGGAAGGCGUUAAGGUUAAUAACCUUGUCGAUUGACGUUACCCGCAGAAGAAGCACCGGCUAACUCCGUGCCAGCAGCCGCGGUAAUACGGAGGGUGCAAGCGUUAAUCGGAAUUACUGGGCGUAAAGCGCACGCAGGCGGUCUGUCAAGUCGGAUGUGAAAUCCCCGGGCUCAACCUGGGAACUGCAUUCGAAACUGGCAGACUAGAGUCUUGUAGAGGGGGGUAGAAUUCCAGGUGUAGCGGUGAAAUGCGUAGAGAUCUGGAGGAAUACCGGUGGCGAAGGCGGCCCCCUGGACAAAGACUGACGCUCAGGUGCGAAAGCGUGGGGAGCAAACAGGAUUAGAUACCCGAGUAGUC